UUGUUUUCUUUUUACCUCUUUGUUUAUGUGUUGUUGUUGUUUUGCAAAAAAAAUAAAUAAAUAAAUAAAUAAAUAAAAUAAAUAAAAAUAAAAAUCUCGUUUAUAACUUUUUUUUCUCGCUUCUCUCUCUUUGCAGAAGAUGUUCAUAGAAAAUGGCUUUAUCUAUCUCCGAUGAAGAAUACACAUCUUUACGGAUUUCAAGUUGAAGAACCCUCAUUCAAUGGAUUUGGAGGCAUCUCUGACUCUUAUAAAUGCAAAUAGGAUGGUGCUUCUUUAAUCAGAUACCACUCACCAAGGGAUAUCAAGGGGAAGUUAACUUGGGUGCAACUCAAAAAAUUUAUGGAUCCAAGCAAUUUUGCAGUCAAAAUCUAGUGAAGGACAAUGUCUUGAUGUGAAACUUAACAUCCAAGGAGUUCCGGUAACAACAAAUUUCUACCUACUCUCUAUUGGUGGUUAUGAUGCCGUAUUGGGUGCACAAUGGCUCCAAUCAUUGGAGCCCAUAAUAUGGGACUUCUCCAAAAUGUUGAUGCACUUUUCUUAUAAAGGAGAUACAUUCAAGCUUGUUGGUGUCGCUACUAAAGAACUCGUUGUUCUUUCUUGUUGUCAAAUAGAACAUUUUUUUAAACGUCCCUCUCUGGGUCUAUUGUUAUAAGUCUAAGAAGUUUGUGCUGUUACAAAAGUACCUAGCCUUCCGCUAAGCAUUCAAGCCAUUCUCAUUGAGUUCUCUGAUGUGUUCUCUCCACCAUUUGGUCUGCCUCCACUUCAGUCCCAUGAUCAUCACAUCACGCUUCUUCCAGGAUCGUCACCAACUAAUGUCCAACCCUACAGAUAUCCAUUGAUGCAAAAGGCAGAAAUUGAAUGCAUUAUUAGAGAAAUGCUCCAAGAAUGAAUAAUUAGACCAAGCCAUAGUCCAUUUUUAUCCCCUGUUCGGUUAGCUCGCAAGCAUAAUGGUAAUUGGCGGCUAUGUAUUGAUUAUCGGGCUUUAAAUAGUGCAACAGUCAAUGAUUGGUAUCCAAUUCAAGUGGUAGAUGAACUCCUUGAUGAGCUUUAUGGUGCAAUUAUCUUCUCCAAACUUGACUUAUGGUCUGGAUUUCAUCAAAUUCGAGUAGUGGAGGACGACAUUCCUAAAACUGUUUUUCGGAUACAUGACAGCCAUUAUGAAUUUCUUGUGAUGCCUUUUGGCCUCACAAAUGCCUUAUCAAUAUUUCAGAGCCUUAUGAACGAGGUAUUAGGUUUGUUCCUAAGGAAAUUUAUUUUGGUACUUUUUGACGAUAUAUUAGUUUACUGCUCUUCCAAAGCAGACCAUGUCACUCAUCUAAAACAAAUCUUGGAGCUCCUUUAUCAACACAAAUUGCAUGCAAAAUUUUCGAAAUGGUGUUUUGGAUGCUCAGAGGUUAAUUUUCGGGGCAUGUGAUCUCUUUUACUGGUGUUACCGUAGACCAAAAAAAGGUGGACACAAUUCUACAAUGGCCUCUACUAUCAACAUUGAAAUCACUUUGUGGAUCUCUGAGCCUAAUAGGAUAUUACAAAAAGUUUGUUCAAAGGUAUAGAAAGAUUACAGUUCCCCUUACAAAUAUGUUGAAGAAAAGAGCUUUCCAUGGACAGAUAAUUCUAAGGCAGCAUUUGAGUUGCUUAAGCAAGCAUUAACUCGUCCCUAUAUUCUUGCACUUCCAGAUUUCACCAAAAAAAUUGUGAUCGAGUAUGAUGCUUCUAGAGUUGGAAUCAGUGUCGUGUUAAUGCAAUCAGGCCGUCCAAUAGCUUAUUUUAGCCAAGCCUUUCAUGAUUAAUCUAUCUCAUCAUUGGAAUGAAAUGCACGCUCAGGAGGUUAAUGAUUUAUCCAACCUUUCAGAGAAGUUAUUUGAGAAUGCAGAAAGAUUUGGGUUCAAUAGCUCAACUUAUGGUUGCUCUUUUACUGGAGAAGAUAAUAUGGACCCAAUGGUUUAGUUUUAAAGGUUCUCAUACCUUCACAAUUUCAUGCUUUUGGAUAUAUUUUUUGAAGUGCUUCCAAGAACAUCCAUUUUGAUACAAAAAUUUGGAGAAAUUGAUACCCCACAAGUUGUUUUUCCUCUCCUUUUUAUCCCCUUUGUUUUCUUCUGUACUACAUUGUGGUGGCAGAUGUAUUUUUUUUUAAGUUACUUUUUUAAAUCUUUUGAGUCGCUUUUAAUAUAAUUGAGAUUUUGUAAUGCAAGAGUUGGUGAUUAAAUAUUUGAGCCAUUUGGAAAUUCUGUUCUCCAAAAGAGUCUUUGUUAUAUUAUUUAUUUGGUGAAGCUUUGAUUUCCAAAUUGACACUAAAAUAGGAGGUCAGAAUCUAUCCUGAUAAUUGGCUUUUAGUUCAGCAAUUUGUAAUGUAAGGGCUGGAGGUUAAAUAUUUGAGCCAUUUGGAAAUUUUGUUCUCUAAAAGAGUCUUUGUUAUGUUAUUUGGUGAAGCUUUGAUUUCUAAAUUGAUGCCAUAAUAGGAGGUCAGAAUCUAUCCUGACAAUUGGCUUUUAGUUCAGCAAGCUCAAACCAAUCUGUUUGGUUGUUUUUAUCAUAGGAAGCAGAAAGAUGGAAACUUAGUAAACAAUUGAUGAUUCAUACUGGUUGUCUACAACAUUUUAUGCACAACUUAAUUUGAACCAUUGAAGCCUUCUAUACAUAAGUGAUGGUAUUUUGAAUAUAUUACACUUUGGUUAGCAGCUCCUCCCUGUAAAGGAGAAAAUUCCAUUAUAAUAUAGAAAUUUCAGUGAAAAUUUUUGCCGGAUCAGAAAAUAUAGGUUUAAGCAUAGUUUUUAAUAAAGUGACAUUGUUCAAAUUUCAAUAUAAUGAACUUGAAAGCGAAGAUUAGGCCAUGAGCUUAUCAGGUUCGGGACUCGGAUAUAUUCCGAACCAAUGUAUGAUUCAACUAGAGCAAAUUUAUCCCCAAACUUCUAAUAUACCAAAACAAAAAAAUAAAAAAUAAAAAAAAAAAAAAAAAAAAAAAAAAA